rnacentral:lncRNA from 1 species
UUUUCAGCCAAUAAAGUGGCAGCAUCAUUAACUGAAGAAGAAAAAUGACCACUUGCAUCAGGAUUCUUUUUUUUCCUCUUUGAAGAUGAGGAACCCCCUUGGUUUCUAUCUGGUUGCGGCUCCGUAGCAGAAACAUCCAUGUCCUCCAAAGAGACAUUAGCAUCGCAGUCAUAGUAUUCGUUUCUUUCUUCAUUAAUAUCUGCAGUAGGUACAUCCU